rnacentral:rRNA from 1 species
GAUGAACGCUGGCGGCGUGCUUAACACAUGCAAGUCGAACGAUGAAGCCCAGCUUGCUGGGUGGAUUAGUGGCGAACGGGUGAGUAACACGUGAGUAACGUGCCCUUAACUCUGGGAUAAGCCUGGGAAACUGGGUCUAAUACCGGAUAGGAGCGUCCACCGCAUGGUGGGUGUUGGAAAGAUUUAUCGGUUUUGGAUGGACUCGCGGCCUAUCAGCUUGUUGGUGAGGUAAUGGCUCACCAAGGCGACGACGGGUAGCCGGCCUGAGAGGGUGACCGGCCACACUGGGACUGAGACACGGCCCAGACUCCUACGGGAGGCAGCAGUGGGGAAUAUUGCACAAUGGGCGCAAGCCUGAUGCAGCGACGCCGCGUGAGGGAUGACGGCCUUCGGGUUGUAAACCUCUUUCAGUAGGGAAGAAGCGAAAGUGACGGUACCUGCAGAAGAAGCACCGGCUAACUACGUG